ACGGCGUUGGACUUGAUGCCCAGGUCCGUCAGGUAGCGCUUGACGGCCGCCGCGCGGCGGUUGGAGAGCUGGAGGUUGUACUCCUCCGUGCCGCGC
rnacentral:tRNA from 1 species